rnacentral:lncRNA from 1 species
UAAGCCUUCUCAUUUGAAAUUCUAAUUUUACCAAAAGAGAAAAUGCAGUUUUUAUGAAUUUUGGUAGAAAUUUCUAAUGCCAUAUUCUUUAAGAAAAUUUUUACUCUUAAUGCAACCUAGAAUACAUAUACAUAAAAUACAACAAGUAUGAUUUAUCUCUUGAAAAAUGAAGCUGAUUGUUCUCAAUUAGUAUUGCCUUCAAAAAGAGAUCUAGCUUACUGACUUCCAAUAAACUUAAAUUAUCAAAUUUAGAUUGUUUAGUAGGGUCUUAAACUGUUUUAACUCUUUUAGUUGUUUAUAGAAUAAUACUUAAAAUUAUGAAAAAUUAUCAAGUAAUUCCUUGAUGUAAAUAAACAUCAUUAUAUUAAAGAAAAAUUGAGUCAUUAUGCUUGAAUGAGCAGUUGACUCCCCUCUAGGUCACCAUAAAUUGUUGGAAUUAACAAGUCUUCUAUUAUAACAUUUUCU